CUGAUACUGAAAUAGGCCUGUAUUCAGGUGCAAAUAGCAUCACUGUACAGUUUUCACAAUGUCACAGCUUUUGUCGUUGUAAGGGUUAAGGGGCACUUAAGGUGAGAGGACUAAUCACUUAAGGCACUAUCGAAAACUUUGCAUUCUCUAAACUGAAUUUCAAGAGUGACACUGGGGCACACUGAACUAGUGCUGCAUAUUAAAAC